rnacentral:rRNA from 1 species
GACGAACGCUGGCGGCGUGCUUAACACAUGCAAGUCGAACGAAGAGCGAUGGAAGCUUGCUUCUAUCAAUCUUAGUGGCGAACGGGUGAGCAACGCGUAAUCAACCUGCCCUUCAGAGGGGGACAACAGUUGGAAACGACUGCUAAUACCGCAUACGAUCUAAUCUCGGCAUCGAGGAUAGAUGAAAGGUGGCCUCUACAUGUAAGCUAUCACUGAAGGAGGGGAUUGCGUCUGAUUAGCUAGUUGGAGGGGUAACGGCCCACCAAGGCGAUGAUCAGUAGCCGGUCUGAGAGGAUGAACGGCCACAUUGGGACUGAGACACGGCCCAGACUCCUACGGGAGGCAGCAGUGGGGAAUCUUCCGCAAUGGACGAAAGUCUGACGGAGCAACGCCGCGUGAGUGAUGACGGCCUUCGGGU